rnacentral:rRNA from 1 species
UAAUACAUGCAAGUCGAGCGAUGAGGCUCCUUCGGGAGUACAUCAGCGGCGAACGGGUGAGUAACACGUGGGUGACUUGCCCCGAAGAUGGGGAUAACCUCUGGAAACGGGGGCUAAUACCCAAUGUGCUCGGUGAUUCGGUUCAUCGAGUAAAGCUCCGGCGCUUCGGGAGAGGCCUGCGGCCCAUCAGCUAGUUGGUAGGGUAACGGCCUACCAAGGCAGAGACGGGUAGGGGGCGUGAGAGCGCGGACCCCCACACUGGCACUGAGAUACGGGCCAGACUCCUACGGGAGGCAGCAGUAAGGGAUAUUGCGCAAUGGACGAAAGUCAGACGCAGCGACGCCGCGUGGGCGAUGAAGGCCUUCGGGUUGUAAAGCCCUUUUAUGGGGGAAGAGAAAAAGGACGGUACCCCAGGAAUAAGUCCCGGCUAACUACGUGCCAGCAGCCGCGGUAAAACGUAGGGGACAAGCGUUAUCCGGAUUCACUGGGCGUAAAGAGCGUUGAGGCGGUUCCGUAAGUUGGGCGUGAAAGCUCCGGGCUUAACUCGGAGAUGUCGUUCAAUACUGCGGGGCUUGAGGACAGCAGAGGAAGGUGGAAUUCCCGGUGUAGUGGUGAAAUGCGUAGAUAUCGGGAGGAACAGCCGUGGAGAAGGCGGCCUUCUGGGCUGUUCCUGACGCUGA